GGACCCGCACAAGCGGUGGAGCAUGUGGUUUAAUUCGAUGCAACGCGAAGAACCUUACCAAGAAUUGACAUGCUGCGAACGUUUACGAAAGUAAAAAGUCUAUUAACUUAGUUAAUAGCGCAGACACAGGUGGUGCAUGGUUGUCGUCAGCUCGUGCCGUGAGGUGUUAGGUUAAGUCCUGCAACGAGCGCAACCCUUGUCUUUAGUUAUAUUCUAGAGAGACUGCCGGUGAUAAACCGGAGGAAGGUGAGGAUGACGUCAAAUCAGCAUGCCCCUUACAUCUUGGGCGACUCACGUGCUACAAUGGUCGGGACAAAGAGAUGCUACCCUGCGAAGGCAAGCUAACCUCAAAAACCCGAUCUCAGUUCGGAUUGCAGGCUGCAACUCGCCUGCAUGAAGUUGGAAUCGCUAGUAAUCGCAGGU
rnacentral:rRNA from 1 species